rnacentral:snRNA from 1 species
UAGCUAUGUGUUUUGUUUCAUAU